rnacentral:rRNA from 1 species
UACGGAGGGUGCAAGCGUUAUCCGGAUUCACUGGGUUUAAAGGGUGCGUAGGAGGGCAGGGAAGUCAGUGGUGAAAUCUGUGGGCUUAACCCACAAACUGCCGUUGAUACUCUCUGUCUUGAAUAUUGUGGAGGUGAGCGGAAUAUGUCAUGUAGCGGUGAAAUGCUUAGAUAUGACAUAGAACACCAAUUGCGAAGGCAGCUCGCUACACAUAUAUUGAUUCUGAGGCACGAAAGCGUGGGGAUCAAACAGG